rnacentral:lncRNA from 1 species
GCUACAGGAUGUCACAUUCAUUGUCAGAACAACUACAAUCAAUUAACAAUAAAAUAAUCAUUAGUCAUGUAAUUCAAAGUCAAACACAUUCAUUUAUGGAUAAACAAUCAAAAAUCGAAUCUUAAUCAAGCUUAUGAAAGCUCUUUUAUAAACCCAAACUCAAAAUAGAACUAAAUUACAAAGUUUAAAAGUAUAAGGCCGA